GCCCCCGUAGCUCAGUGGAUAGAGCAACUGCCUUCUAAGCAGCUGGCCGGAGGUUCGAAUCCUCUCGGGGGCG
rnacentral:tRNA from 1 species